AGGUGGGCCUGGAUUACCAAUAUCUCCUUUGGCACCCUAUUCAAAAUCAAAUAUAAAAAAUAAAUUAAAGCCCCCCAGCCUUGCAUCUCUAUGAAAACAAGAAAGAAACUCCCGCAAAACUGGAAAAACAAUGGAAGAAAUCUUGAGAAAGGCAUUUCAGAGAACUAGAGACUCAGGGUGGACAGAUCCAGGGUGCCAGGCUGGUAGGAAGCAGACAACAAAGAUGAAGCAUGGACAGUCCCUACUUUAUUAAAGGAAUCAGUAAGUAUUGAAAAGAGCACUGGGUCUCUCUCUGCUCGAAUAAGAUGAAAUCGGUCCAGCAUUGAAACAGUUUCAGGUAUAUCAUGUUUAAGACAGCUCUCCAUAAAGUGCAAAAUGCCACUGUACUUUUAUGCUCCAUGACCUGCUAUAAGCGCAGACAUUUCGACCAUUUUAUUUGAUAAUGAUGGAACAUUUCUCAUUACAAUGAAUGGCAGACCAGUUCUAAAACCUGUUCGCUUUGCUUUUACUUUUGCACCGGCCCUCUUCAUCUAUGGUAAACAGCUCCUUUGUAAAAUGAAACUGAGCUGCUUAGGCGCUUGCGAUCACAGUGCAAGUAGCUGAUUACGGUGAAUAUUUAAUGCACCUCACUUUUAUUUUAUUAAUGUCUCUUAAAUGUCCAGGUGUUGCAGACAUAAGGCAGCCUUUAUAUCCUCUUUGUAAAUCCAUCCAGGUUAGCAGCCCAUUGGAAGUUCCUUCAAGACAAGCUAGUGCCUCUAUUUGGCAUGUAACAAUGACUGACAUAAACAAAACCAAACAUAAUGAAAUAUUCUCAAACCUACUUAAAUUCAAUUUAAGGUUAUGGGUUUGUGCCACAACGGACAGGACAUUGGAUAUUACAAUACCUAGUUAUGCUUACAACCAUGAGCCAAAUUACAAUCACCAACUAACCUAACACACAUCUCUUGUGGGGGAGAAUAGGAUUAGGAAGAUGCAAAUUCCACACAGGCAGACAAUGACCAGGGGUAAGGAUACAAAUCCAGGACACUGGAUUUAUUAUGCAGCACCAGUGUAGCCUUCCUCUAUUAUUGAUAACCAAACACAUCAUGCUCACUUUCCACAAAAUGAAUUUUUAAUUUGUUAUUGAAGUCUAAAAUUAUUCAGUUUAGUUGUUUACUAAUUUAAAAGAUACUACCAGAUAUCCUGACCCCAUAGCCUGGAUUGCACUUCAGUGCUUUCGAAACGUUUAUCUCUUCUUGAGUAUCAUUAUUCAUAAUUAUAUUUUUCUUUGUUGUCAUUCAUUCCAUCUUAAAAAUGUUAGGAAA